rnacentral:rRNA from 1 species
CAGUAGCCACGGUAAUACGUAGGGUGCAAGCGUUAAUCGGAAUUACUGGGCGUAAAGCGUGCGCAGGCGGUUUGUUAAGACAGGUGUGAAAUCCCCGGGCUCAACCUGGGAACUGCAUUUGUGACUGGCAAGCUAGAGUGUGGCAGAGGGGGGUGGAAUUCCGCGUGUAGCAGUGAAAUGCGUAGAUAUGCGGAGGAACACCGAUGGCGAAGGCAGCCCCCUGGGCCAACACUGACGCUCAUGCACGAAAGCGUGGGGAGCAAACAGGAUUAGAUACCCCGGUAGUCCCUGUCUCUUAUAA